rnacentral:rRNA from 1 species
AACGAACGCUGGCGGCAGGCCUAAAACAUGCAAGUCGAACGCCCCGCAAGGGGAGUGGCGCACGGGUGAGUAACGCGUGGGAACGUGCCCUUCACUACGGGACAACGUCGGGAAACUGACGCUAAUACCGUAUAAUGACUCCGGUCCAAAGAUUUAUCGGUGAAGGAGCGGCCCGCGUCUGAUUAGUUUGUUGGUGGGGUAAUGGCCUACCAAGACUACGAUCAGUAGCAGGUCUGAGAGGAUGAUCUGCCACACUGGGACUGAGACACGGCCCAGACUCCUACGGGAGGCAGCAGUUAGAAAUAUUGGACAAUGGGCGAAAGCUUGAUCCAGCCAUGCCGCGUGUGUGAUGAAGGCCUUAGGGUUGUAAAGCACUUUCGUUGGGGAUGAUAAUGACCGUACCCAAAGAAGAAGCACCGGCUAACUUCGUGCCAGCAGCCGCCGUAA